GCCAGCAGCCAUAUCACCCUGCAACCCACUAAGCAGGUGUGGGCCUGGUCAGUACCUGGAUGGAGACCUCCUGGAAAAAACUAAGGUUGCUGCUGGAA
rnacentral:rRNA from 1 species